GGGGCCAGGGAGGCUCCCCCUCUCCCGUCCUGGCUACUGUCCCGCCGCCCAGCAUGCAGCUGGCAAGGCCCGGCCCGUCGGGGACCGCUCCGCCUCCAGCUAGCAGUGAGUUCCCAGCACCUCCAGCCCGCCGGAAAGCACGGGGGAGGGAGCGCCGCCCACGCACAAAAACAGGUGGCCUAGCGGUGGACUCUCAUGGCCCAUACUAUCUUCAAACUCAUUAUGUCGCUGAGGGUAAACUAGGAUUUCUAAUCCUCCUAACCUGGAACUCAAAACAAUCUUCCUGCCUCAGAAUUCUGAUUCCUGAGAUUGCAAGCAAGCAUAUGCCACCAUGCCUUGGUUCCCCAAAUUCUUAUUCUGUUGUGUGUGUGUGUGUGUGUGUGUGUGUGUGUGUACUUGACAUAAGGUAGAGUCAUCAGAGAGGAAGGAGCCUCAGCUGAGGAAAUGCCUCAGUGAGACCCAGCUGGAAGGCAUUUUCUCAAUUAGAGACCAAUGGGGGAGGCCCAUGGUGGGUAGUGCCAACCCUGGGCUGCUGGUCCUGGGUUCUAGAAGAAAGUAGACUGAGCAAACCAUGGGAAGCGGCAUCCUCCACAGCUUCUACGUCAGCUCCUGGCUCCAGGAUCCUGCCCUAUUUGAGUUCCUGCCCUGACUUGCUUUGGUGAUGAACAGAAAUGUGGAAGUGUAAGCUGAAUAAACCCUUUCCUCCCCGA